rnacentral:rRNA from 1 species
UAGGGAAUAUUGGGCAAUGGGGGAAACCCUGACCCAGCAACGCCGCGUGAGGGAAGAAGGUUUUCGGAUUGUAAACCUCUGUCCUAUGUGACGAAGGAAGUGACGGUAGCAUAGGAGGAAGCCCCGGCUAACUACGUGCCAGCAGCCGCGGUAAUACGUAGGGGGCGAGCGUUGUCCGGAAUUACUGGGCGUAAAGGGUGCGUAGGCGGUAGAUUAAGUUGGAUGUGAAACCCCCGUGCUUAACAUGGGGCUGUCAUUCAAAACUGGUUUACUAGAGUACAGGAGAGGGAAGCGGAAUUCCUAGUGUAGCGGUGAAAUGCGUAGAUAUUAGGAGGAACACCAGUGGCGAAGGCGGCUUUCUGGACUGUAACUGACGCUGAGGCACGAAAGCGUGGGGAGCAAACAGG